AGUGAACGCUGGCGGUAGGCCUAAUACAUGCAAGUCGAACGGCAGCACAGUAAGAUCUUGCUCUUACGGGUGGCGAGUGGCGGACGGGUGAGGAAUACAUCGGAAUCCACUUUUUCGUGGGGGACAACGGAGGGAAACUUACGCUAAUACCGCAUACGACCUACGGGUGAAAGCAGGGGAUCUUCGGACCUUGCGCGAUUGAAUGAGACGAUGUCGGAAUAGGUAGUUGGCGGGGUAAAGGCCCACCAAGGCGACGAUCCGUAGCUGAGCUGAGAGGAAGAUCAGCCCACCCUGAACUUAGACACGGGCCCGACUCCUAACGGGAGCAGCAGUAGGGAAUUUUUGGCAAAGGGCGCCAGCCUGCACCAGCCCAACCGGGUGGGUUAUGAAGGGCUUUCGGUUUUAAAACCCUGUUUUUAGGGAAAGAAAACCGGGUGGUUAACUCCCGCUGUUCUGACGGUACCCAAAGAAUAAGCAACGGCUAACUUCGUG
rnacentral:rRNA from 1 species